GCAGCUCCGUCCUCCCAGGGGGCGCUGCAGGCACGUCUGCUUGGGCAGGGGCCCGGCGGAAGCGCCGCUCUAGGCUGCAGCCGCGCCCCCAGCCGUAUUUCCGCGGGCGCUGAGCACUAGAGAGAGCGUCUUGUGGCUGCGGCCUGCCCCUCAGCCUCCUCCGCGCGGUUACCCCUGUACCCGCCGCCAUCCGUCCUGGCGCUCCGGAUGAGUCAAUGAGGGGCAGGGCCCGAGGAGUGGUCUUCCCAAGAACCCCUGGUGGCCUCCCAAGGCCGGUGCUGUGUACCUCCUCCCCGACAAAAGGGGAAACUGAGGCCCCGAGGGGAGUGGGAAGAGCCGGCUGGACGUCAGGCCCAGCCGCUGGUGCAGUGGUCCGUCCCCUCUGCCGGGGUGGGCCCCUCGGGUUUCGCGUGUCCUCGGGAAAGAGACUGGCGGGUGAGCCGCGCCCUCGGCCUUCGCUGGGCUAAGCCGACCCCAUGCAGACGUCAAACCCCCCUAGGUCGGCACAGCCUCUCUGCGGGGAGGCUUAGUGCCCCCUUGAGAAACGGCUUGGCAACGCUGUGCCCGGGGCCUUGCACGCGGGCUGAGGGGGCUAGAGACCUCGCGACUUUUACUCCCCCGACCCCGAUCUCCGACUCCUGACUUUGGAAGCCCCCAAAGCUGCUUUUCGGUUGCCUACAAAGUGUCGGUCAUUGUGCCACGUCCUUGGAACCGUGAACUCAUUUUCUCCUCAAUAACCUUUAAAAAGUAGCUGUAAAACCUCCAUUUUACAGACCAGUUGGCUGAGGUUUAAAUGGAGGACGCUCCCAGGGCCCCAGAGGGGCGAAUUCCAGACUCCUUUGCCAGGACCUUGUACUAAGCCCCUUCCCUACGCUUUUCCCUGCCUAGGCCUCGUGGGCUGUGCGGCUAUCCUGGAGACAGAUGACAGCUCUCCCUUGGAUGGCUUUGCUGGUUCCGCACCAGCCAGCGCCCCCAUUUUUCCUGCAGCACCCUGAUCUGCACUCCCUGAGGGGCUCCCACUGUCCGCGGUGUGAGGAUGUCCCUGGAAAUUGGUCUUCUGUGACUUUCUUGAUGGGGGCAGAUGAGAUCUUUGUACUGCAUUAAGUGGAUAGCGCUCAGGUCCUUUGGGCUUGGCGCUUUGGCAAUCUCCAGGCAGCUCACUUUGGCCUCUGUUCCUGGAUCCCCUUUGCUCUUUUCUGCGCCUGCAUUCAUAGUCCACUGUGUGCAGAGGCAUGGGAGUUGUCAUGUUGGGAACAUGCUAGACCUCAGUAUCCUUGAGGGAUGCUGCCUUGGGUCUGGAAACUGUUAGAGGAAACCCCAAGAGGUGCAGGCACUGAGCCUCUCAGGACAAUGACCUGGGGUCCCAGCUCCCCUGGAGGGGCCUCCUCAUGAUUGUUUGGGGGUUGAUCACAGACCAAGAGUGACGAGUGAUGUCACCCUGUGACUCAUGGCUGGACCUUCUUGCCCCUAUUGUCUCAGCACAACAUUAUUCGACUUUUCCCUCAGCGUGGGUGGGCAGAGGAAAAGCCCUGUGGCUCUGGGGACUUGGGAUCCAGAGUUGAAGACCCUUCAGCUGGCUCUGCCCUGCCAGUGCCACAGAGUGCCAUGGCCCAGGAAGACAGGUUUUCUUCCAUCUAGGCCAGGCCAUCCAGUGGCCAUCCUCCGUGUCCUCCCGCCUCCUCCUGGUGUGACUUCUGAAAACCAAGAAUUUGUUCCUGUUGACUUUUUCUGUGCUAUGGACCAUUGUCCUCUCACCCACUCAAUAAAUCUUGAAACAUGCCCUGCU
rnacentral:lncRNA from 1 species